UGGAACUCUGGAAAGCCUGACAACUUGAUGAGUAUACGUUUGCCUCUACCACCAGAGUUUUUAUAUGCUUUUAUUACUUCUUUGUCUAUAUAAAAUGAGACAAGUCUACAAGAUGUGUGACGUCUACAAGAAAAAUGAAGGCUACAAGAACAGGUUCAACAAUUUGUUUCCAGUGAGUGUAAUUAAACAAGAGGCUGUGUCACAACUGUCAGUCACCGAGCUGGAAAAAAAUACCUUGGACAGCGGUAGCCAAACCUACUGCUCAAGAGACAUCUCCACUCUUUUAACUACUUGAUACAUCUCCUCCACUAUUUAUUAGGAGAGGAAAGUUAUUUUGGGGAGUGAGGGAGGGCGAGCAAUUUAGUUUUAGUUUUUUUUUAAAUUUCCUUUUAAUCUUUGUAUGUGAUUCUACUAUGGAUAAGGAGUCCUAGUGACACAUAAUUAGUGUCUUCCCAACAUAUUUGAUUUCAUUUCCAUGCUUCGCUUUUGUAUUUAUGAAGCUCAGGCACUGUACCUCUCUCCAAGGCUUAGUACAUUG